rnacentral:rRNA from 1 species
GUUUGAUCCUGGCUCAGGACGAGCGCUGUCGGCGUGCCUAACACAUGCAAGUCGAACGAGGUCCAACCAACCGCAAGGUUGGGGAAGACCUAGUGGCGAACGGGUGAGUAACACGUGAGGAACCUGCCCCGAAGACUGGGAUAACACCGGGAAACCGGUGCUAAUACCGGAUGCCCUCAGCGGACCGCAUGGUCUACUGAGGAAAUGGAUUCCGCUUCGGGAGGGUCUCGCGGCCUAUCAGCUUGUUGGUGGGGUAACGGCCCACCAAGGCUUCGACGGGUAGCUGGUCUGAGAGGACGAUCAGCCACACUGGGACUGAGACACGGCCCAGACUCCUACGGGAGGCAGCAGUGGGGAAUCUUGCGCAAUGGGCGAAAGCCUGACGCAGCAACGCCGCGUGGGGGAUGAAGGCUCUCGGGUUGUAAACCCCUUUCAGCAGGGACGAUUGUGACGGUACCUGCAGAAGAAGCCCCGGCCAACUACGUGCCAGCAGCCGCGGUAACACGUAGGGGGCAAGCGUUGUCCGGAUUUAUUGGGCGUAAAGAGCUCGUAGGCGGCUCGGUAAGUCGGGUGUGAAAACUCGGGGCUCAACCCCGAGACGCCACUCGAUACUGCCAUGGCUUGAGUCCGGUAGGGGAGCAGGGAAUUCCUGGUGUAGCGGUGAAAUGCGCAGAUAUCAGGAGGAACACCGGUGGCGAAGGCGCUGCUCUGGGCCGGUACUGACGCUGAGGAGCGAAAGCGUGGGUAGCAAACAGGAUUAGAUACCCUGGUAGUCCACGCCGUAAACGUUGGGCACUAGGUGUGGGACCUCAUCAACGGGUUCCGUGCCGUAGCUAACGCAUUAAGUGCCCCGCCUGGGGAGUA